AUUGAACGCUGGCGGCAGGCUUAACACAUGCAAGUCGAACGAGUGGCGGACGGGUGAGUAAUGCUUGGGAAUCUGGCUUAUGGAGGGGGAUAACGACGGGAAACUGUCGCUAAUACCGCGUACCAUAGGAUGAGCCCAAGUGGGAUUAGUUAGUUGGUGGGGUAAUGGCCUACCAAGACGGAGAUCCCGAGCUGGUCUGAGAGGAGGACCAGCCACACCGGAACUGAGACACGGCCCGGACUCCUACGGGAGGCAGGUGUGGGGAAUAUUGCGCAAUGGGGGCAACCUGACGCAGCCAUGCCGCGUGUGUGAAGAAGGCCUUCGGGUUGUAAAGUACUUUCAGUGACGAGGCGUUAAUCGCAGAAGAAGCACCGGCUAACUCCGUGCCAGCAGCCGCGGUAAUAC
rnacentral:rRNA from 1 species